rnacentral:rRNA from 1 species
UACGUAGGGGGCUAGCGUUGUCCGGAAUCAUUGGGCGUAAAGCGCGCGUAGGCGGCCCGGUAAGUCCGUUGUGAAAGUCAAAGGCUCAACCUUUGAAAGCCGAUGGAUACUGCCGGGCUAGAGUCCGGAAGAGGCGAGUGGAAUUCCUGGUGUAGCGGUGGAAUGCGCAGAUAUCAGGAGGAACACCAAUAGCGAAGGCAGCUCGCUGGGACGGUACUGACGCUAAGGCGCGAAAGCGUGGGGAGCAAACAGG